UGAGGAGAUGGCUACUUUUGUGGCUUAUAUUUACACUGGCUGCAUUAGUAACUAUUUUAGAAGGUCUAUGUGUCCUACUAAGUGCUAUUGUUCUUCACACAUUGUGUAAGAAAAAUUAAAUCUUCAUGAGAAAAUUGGAAAUGUAUUAAGUUGUCAAGAGUCACAAUGUUGGUCCUUCAGGCUUCAAAAGAACAGGAGAUAUAGACCUUGAGCAAAAUAUCUCACAAACCAGUUGAUCAAGUUUGAUGUUUGUUGAAACCUUUGUGGUCACUGUGACUUUGAUAAUCUUUGUGGUGAGACCUUCCCAUGGACACAGACAUUUAUAAAACAAUAUGCUCUAUAACUGGAGCAUUUCCAGUAUCCUGUUUUAAAGUCCUGGGUAUUGUUAUUAAAUUGCUUUUUGUUUGAAAGACUGUGCUGGAAUUCCUUUGCUUGAAUUCUUCUUCUAAGCUUUAUAGUCUGUGUAAGCACACAGAUUAAUUCUCUAUUACGGCCCUGGAUAUAUGCAAUGCAUCUAUGGUGAUUCUAUUAUAUUUAUGUAUUUUUAUACCACCAGUUUUAACUAGUUCUCUUCUUCUACUUAAAGAGUGACGAAAUAUGCCUGCUGAUUGAUGAUAGUUUGAGUGUCUACAAUUUUGUGGGAAAAAAUAUCUGUAAUAUUUUUGGGCUUUUAAAGGUGUCAGUUUUCAUCUACCAAGUCAGCCUCUGUCUUUUCCAAAGAUGAGAAAGCAAUGAAUGAUGAACUCUCUAAUAAGCAUGCAAUUCUUAAUAAUAAUGAAGAAAAUUUAACCCAGGUAAUUGCAUAGCAAACAGUAGAAAACCCCCUAGAGAAAUGAAAAUCCAAUGCCUUU
rnacentral:lncRNA from 1 species